rnacentral:lncRNA from 1 species
AUGGGUAAAAGAUCGACUGUGGCAUGUAGGAAAUCUUUUUUCGACUACAGUCCAUCCUAUCACACCCAGAGGUUAUAGAGAAUACUGUGCUUGACCUUCGAGGGAAAUGGAAUCAGGUUCAUCAGCCUGUUAUAAUGAAGACAAUGAAGAAGAAAGUUUGCUUGCAAAUGUUGCGUCGUUAAGACAUGAACUGAAGAUAACAGAAUGGAGUUUGCAGAAUUUAGGGCAAGAGUUAUCCAGUGCUAGUCCAAGUGAAAAUUCCAAUUUUGCUUCUAAUCCUUCAAGGUUUGAAAAACGUAUUAUGGAAGAUCUUGUUCAGCCUAGCCACCCAGGACUUUUGAAUUACUCAUCUUCUAAAAACAUUUGUAAAAUGUCCAGUAGCAGCUCUGAUUUUCAGAAAAAGCCAAAAGAUAAGGUGUCUUUUUUGUCUUCUGCUCCUGUGGAUCAGGAAAUUAAAAGUCUGCGAGAAAAACUUGAUAAACUUAGGCAACAGAAUGCUUGUUUGGUCACACAGAAUCAUUCUUUAAUGAGUAAAAUAGAGUCAAUCCAUUUUGAACUAACACAAUCAAGAGCAAAAAUUUCUGUGCUUGAGUCUGCUCAACAGCAUGCAGCAACUAUCCCAAUCUUAGAAGAACAGAUUAUGAAUUUGGGAGCAGAAGUUUCAGCUCAAGAUAAAGUUUUGAGGUAAAUAUACUUUUUAUAGCCUUAAAAUUUUUAUUAUUAAAAAUUUUUUUUUAAUUUUUUCUGGUUGUUAUAUUUUGCUAAAUCUUACCCCUCACCCUACUCCAAUAAAUCUAUAGUGACCUAUA